ACUCCUACGGGAGGCAGCAGUGGGGAAUUUUGGACAAUGGGCGAAAGCCUGAUCCAGCAAUGCCGCGUGAGUGAAGAAGGCCUUCGGGUUGUAAAGCUCUUUUGUCAGGGAAGAAACGGUGAGGGCUAAUAUCCCUUGCUAAUGACGGUACCUGAAGAAUAAGCACCGGCUAACUACGUGCCAGCAGCCGCGGUAAUACGUAGGGGUGCAAGCGUUAAUCGGAAUUACUGGGCGUAAAGCGUGCGCAGGCGGUUUUGUAAGUCUGAUGUGAAAUCCCCGGGGCUCAACCUGGGAAUUGCAUUGGAGACUGCAAGGCUAGAAUCUGGCAGAGGGGGUAGAAUUCCACGUGUAGCAGUGAAAUGCGUAGAUAUGUGGAGGAACACCGAUGGCGAAGGCAGCCCCCUGGGUCAAGAUUGACGCUCAUGCACGAAAGCUGGGGAGC
rnacentral:rRNA from 1 species